CUGGAACUUCAGCUGAUAAAAGGGCUGGUAGGAAAACACACAGGGCUCUGCAUCCCCAGGACUCAGCUUCAUCCCUGUCUGCUGAGCUUUGACUCUAGAAUCUGACUGUUGGCCCCCCUCUUCUAGGAUUCUGAACACGACCCUCUUUGAGAGCUGGGAGAUAAUCGGGCCUUAUGCUUCAUGGUGGCUCCUCAAUGGCCUGCUGCUGACCCUACAGGUUCUGCAUGUCAUCUGGUCCUACCUAAUUGCACGGAUUGCUUUGAAAGCCUUGAUCAGGGGAAAGGUAUCUAAGGAUGAUCGCAGUGAUGUGGAGAGCAGCUCGGAGGAAGAAGAUGUGACCACCUGCACAAAAAGUCCCUGUGACAGUAGCUCCAGCAAUGGUGCCAAUCGGGUGAAUGGUCACAUGGGAGGCAGCUACUGGGCUGAAGAGUAAGGUGGUUGCUAUGGGGACUUCAGCACACAUGGACUUGUAGGGCCACUGGCAACAUACUCCUCUUGGCCCUUCCCAUAUCUACUCUUCUGUGACAGGGAGACUGCAAGGCACUGAGGAGUAUCAAAGAAGCAA
rnacentral:sRNA from 1 species